rnacentral:tRNA from 1 species
GCGCCGCGUUGGGCAGUUGGAGCACGGCGAGGCUCAGGCUCUCGCGGUCAAGAGCGCCGCGCAGGACGAGGGCGUCCGAUCCGCCGCCGGUGCC